rnacentral:lncRNA from 1 species
GAUAUCGUUAGAACGAACCGAAGCAGGUGGCGGCAGUGUGGGUGAGGUGUCGUCACAAAGUCGAUACGGUGACAUGGUCCGUGCCGUAAAUUCCCGAAAGAUGAUAACACCCGUGGUGUAACGCAGCGCUACCGUGUCCGAUAUCGUUAGAACGAACCGAAGCAGGUGGCGGCAGUGUGGGUGAGCUGUCGUCACAAUGUCGAUACGGUGACAUGGUCCGUGCCGUAAAUUCCCGAAAGAUGAUAACACCCGUAGUGUAACGCAGCGCUACCGUGUCCGAUAUCGUUAGAACGAACCGAAGCAGGUGGCGGCAGUGUGGGUGAGCUGUCGUCACAAAGUCGAUACGGUGACAUGGUCCGUGCCGUAAAUUCCCGAAAGAUGAUAACACCCGUGGUGUAACGCAGCGCUACCGUGUACGAUAUCGUUAGAGCGAACCGAAGCAGGUGGCGGCAGUGUGGGUGAGCUGUCGUCACAAAGUCGAUACGGUGACAUGGUCCGUGCCGUAAAUUCCCGAAAGAUGAUAACACCCGUGGUGUAACGCAGCGCUACCGUGUCCGAUAUCGUUAGAGCGAACCGAAGCAGGUGGCGGCAGUGUGGGUGAGCUGUCGUCACAAUGUCGAUACGGUGACAUGGUCCGUGCCGUAAAUUCCCGAAAGAUGAUAACACCCGUAGUGUAACGCAGCGCUACCGUGUCCGAUAUCGUUAGAACGAACCGAAGCAGGUGGCGGCGGUGUGGGUGAGCUGUCGUCACAAAGUCGAUACGGUGACAUGGUCCGUGCCGUAAAUUCCCGAAAGAUGAUAACACCCGUGGUGUAACGCAGCGCUACCGUGUCCGAUAUCGUUAGAGCGAACCGAAGCAGGUGGCGGCAGUGUGGGUGAGCUGUCGUCACAAAGUCGAUACGGUGACAUGGUCCGUGCUGUAAAUUCCCGAAAGAUGAUAACACCCGUGGUGUAACGCAGCGCUACCAUGUCCGAUAUCGUUAGAGCGAACCGAAGCAGGUGGCGGCAGUGUGGGUGAGCUGUCGUCACAAAGUCGAUACGGUGACAUGAUCAGUCCCGUAAAUUCCCGAAAGAUGAUAACAACCGUGGUGUAACGCAGCGCUACAGUGUAACUAUUCUUCUCUUCGCGUGCAGUUUCUUCACGAAACCUGCCGAACCACAAGUCGCGGCCGGGCCCCCUUGCCCGAGUACUACCGAAUACUUUUGUUUAGGCCCUCUAACAGCACAUCAGCAGCAGUGCGUCAGCCCGCCAACUUGCCGCACUUUUUCCUACUUCUGCUGCCGACCGCGCAACCACCUGCCGGCGCCGGCCCGCUCACAUGGCGCUCGGACGAUGGUGCUUGCACGCUUUGCGAGCUCCAUGACAUUUCUCUCUUCCUUCCUACCUCGCCGUUGGCUUCGGCAGUCGCGCGCUCUUUUCCGCUGCCGACGCCUUUUAAUUUCUUUCAGUAGUAGUAGUAGUAGCAAAUACCGAAACCCUGGACAGGGGAUCACUCGGAUCGUCCAUCAAUGAAGAGCGCGGUUAUCCGCGUGAACUGAUGCCAAGCCUCUUGAUGGUUCUAGAAUGGACUUUGAGAAUGGAAACUACAGAAUGAAUGUUGGUAACAUUACAGAAGCUCUGAAUGAUCUUAACCUCGUCAACAUUGCUCAGACAUCAACGAGUGUUUAAAGAAUCCUUGUCGUUA